UACGAAGGGGGCUAGCGUUGCUCGGAAUCAUUGGGCGUAAAGAGCUCGUAGGCGGCUUAGCAAGUCGGGUGUGAAAACUCCAGGCUCAACCUGGAGACGCCACCCGAUACUGCUAUGGCUAGAGUCCGGUAGGGGACCACGGAAUUCCUGGUGUAGCGGUGAAAUGCGCAGAUAUCAGGAGGAACACCGGUGGCGAAGGCGGUGGUCUGGGCCGGAACUGACGCUGAGGAGCGAAAGCGUGGGGAGCGAACAGG
rnacentral:rRNA from 1 species